UACGGAGGGUGCAAGCGUUGUCCGGAAUCACUGGGCGUAAAGGGCGCGUAGGCGGCCUGGUAAGUAGGGGGUGAAAUCCUGCGGCUUAACCGCAGGGCUGCCUUCUAAACUGUCAGGCUUGAGCACGGUAGAGGCAGAUGGAAUUCCCGGUGUAGCGGUGGAAUGCGUAGAGAUCGGGAAGAACAUCAGUGGCGAAAGCGGCUCUCUGGAACGGUACUGACGCUGAGACGCGAAAGCGUGGGGAGCGAACAGG
rnacentral:rRNA from 1 species